rnacentral:rRNA from 1 species
AUAUUGGUCAAUGGAGGCAACUCUGAGCCAGCCAUGCCGCGUGCAGGAUGACGGUCCUCUGGAUUGUAAACUGCUUUUGUACGGGAACAAACUCUUCUACGUGUAGGGGGAUGUUUGUACCGUAAGAAUAAGUAUCGGCUACCUCCGUGUCAGCAGCCGCGGUAAUACGGAGGAUCCAGGCGUUAUCCGGAUUUAUUGGGUUUAAAGGGUGCGUAGGCGGCCCGUUAAGUCAGGGGUGAAAGACGGCAGCUCAACUGUCGCAGUGCCUUUGAUACUGACGGGCUUGAAUGCGGAAGAGGUAGGCGGAAUGAGACAAGUAGCGGUGAAAUGCAUAGAUAUGUCUCAGAACUCCGAUUGCGAAGGCAGCUUACUAAGACGUGAUUGACGCUGAUGCACGAAAGCGUGGGGAUCAAACAG